UACGUGAGGUGCAAGCGUUGUCCGGAAUUAUUGGGCGUAAAGAGCUUGUAGGCGGUUUGUCGCGUCUGGCUGUGAAAUUUCGGGGCUCAACCCCGAACUUGCAGUGGGUACGGGCAGACUAGAGUGUGGUAGGGGAGACUGGAAUUCCUGGUGUAGCGGUGAAAUGCGCAGAUAUCAGGAGGAACACCGAUGGCGAAGGCAGGUCUCUGGCCGACACUGACGUGAUGCGC
rnacentral:rRNA from 1 species